GUGUUGUUUUUUUUUUUUUCCAUAAAAUAUAUUCCUUGUAUGUAUGCAUUUAUAUUGAGAGACAAAAAGCAUAAGAAAUAAUUUGACUUUUCACUAUUCAACAUGUAAAUCUCUAUAAUUUUCUUCAGUGAUGUUUACUGGAUUUGAGAAGUAUUUAGUGAAUAUUGAACACCUAUAAUAUAUGUCCUUUUGACCGAUGGUGAACUGUAAGUGUUCUUUCUUAGUUAAAGCACUUCCACAUUGGAAAGAUGAUGCAUUCACAGUGUUUUAGAUGUUAAUUGUUUCUUACUGAUAGAUUUUUACAAGAAAAGCAGAAAUUUUGGUGAUAAUGGAUACAAAAGGAAAUUGACAGUGAAGAUAUCUUCACAGAAUUUGAGUUGCUCUGGACAGCUAUCAAGAAAAUUACCACACAAAGUGAAAUCUUAGUGUAGCCUUGGAGCAUGUUAGUUUUGCCAUGAGCAGCAUUUGCAGGGGUUUUCAACAUAAACACAGACAGAUUAAAGUGCACCAGCACUGCCUUACUAUCUGGGAAAGGCAGUAUUCUUUCAAGAGAGCUUGACUGAAGUGAUAGAAAUUGCAUAGGACUGAGAAAUUGUAGUGCUAAUUAGCUCAGCUCUUUAGCAGAACUGAAGUAAUCGUCUCCCACCCCCCAGAUCAGCAGGAAGGGAUAUCUCUGAGCAAUGACAAUAAAUUAUUGGUGCGGGUUACUACCUAGUAACCUCAGUAAUAGAUGGAUCAGUUUUCUGUUCUAAAGCUGAUGCACAAUAUAAACCCAGUAUGUGAUUCUUGGUUCAGAAGUGCUCAAAAAAGUAAAAAGGAAAGGCGACGGAUCCACCUGUGUCAUGGAGCUUCACCUUCAGAACUGAUUUGAAUCCAACAUGUCCACACAGUUGCAUUGCUUUGUAGUUUGUCUUCAGUUAUCUCCUAUGAAACACAAUUAGGAAUGGCUAUGGGGAGGAGUGAUGGAAAGGGUUAACUGGUGCCACCAGCGUUAUUUAUGUACCUUGCAUGAAUAACCACCAGCUGCUGAAAUUUGGUAUGUUGUCAAGAUGCCAGCCAAAAACUAUCAGUGAGAUGAAUGAAUGAAUUACUUAGAGGAAAGCAGUCUACUGUUACCUACUUUUUUGUUUACUCCUCAGUUAUGGGAAGGAUUAGAUAUUUACUAUGCACAUGGAAUACAGUUAAAAUUUACAAAUCAAAUAUUGUCUGGACUCAGUGAAUUUAUUGUGCAUUUGCAGAUUGCCUGUUGCAUGUGUAUUUUGUAGAAAUGCAAGCAACUUGCCACUUAUAUUUUGUUCUAGAAUAGUAGUAUUAUUAUUCGGUAUACUCGACAACAUUCAACAGAAUUUUUUUUCUGCCCAUGACUGACUGUUCUUGGAGGCUUCUUCUUCUUGUUCCCAUUGACUUACUUGAGUGGGAGUGUUUGGCUGUCUCUAGCAGUCUGUCUAUAAUUUAAUGGGAAUCCUGGACUUGUUCUCUUUGGGCCAAAAAUUCGCAAAGAAUGUCCAUCUUUUCAGCCUCAUUACUUAAUAACGUAACUUGGCUUUGAAACUUUUACUUACACAUCUUAGUUGCUAGCACAGUGUUAAAACCUACAUGUUACAUUUUCUGAAGCUGCCUUCAGGACAGUGAAAUCCUCAAAGAAAAGUUAAAAAAAGCUACAACAAACAAGAACCUCAGCAAUCAUAAAGAACUAAUCUUUAUAGAUAAAAUUUCCCAACUCUAUGCAUGCCCCUGCCUUUUUUCUAAUGUGAUGAUCUACUUUCCAGAUGAGCCAUUUCACACUGUGCGCAUGAGCUGUUGCUUAGUUCAAAGUCCUCUGAGCAGGUUAUGGCCUGCUUAACCCUUGGCUCUUGCUGAUCCUGUAUGAACUUGCUGCAUGUUGGAUUUCAGUUAGAUUUUUAAAAAUGCUUUCUGGAAAAUAAGAUAUGUCUUAUAUCCAGGGCAGUGUGAUAGAGAAGGGGGUUCGUGUCAACACGUUCUGUGAGUAAUCUGUUAAUCUGUGUAACAUAUCCUAGCCUAAUAUGGGGAAUUCAAAUGUCUAAAUCAAAGGUAAGCAAGAUUAGACUCAGACACUUAUUCAACAUAUAAAUAUUUGCAGAAAUGUUGGGGUUUUUUUAUGUCAGAGAAGAAGACGCUUGGAAAAUAGGACAGUACAUUCCCAUACUCAGGUUUUUUUUUGUUUUUUUUUAAUAUUUUAUCUCUUCAAUCUGUACAUUAGUAUUUUAUUGCAACAAAACUGGAAUUAAAUAAAAAAUUAAUUAGGUAAGUUUGAGGGAAAUCUCCUUUCCUAGAAGCUUCAAGAUUUACCGUCAUAGUAGGUAUGCAUUCACUGCUCUUGAAGCCAUAAUGAAAAAGUUUUAUAAAAAAGGGAUACCUGAGCAAUGGACAAAGAUUAUCACUAAAUGUGGAAACAGAUGCUCCCUUGCAAAAUGUAUGUUGUGCUCUUAGAGAUUUAUUACCCUGGCUUCAUUACACCCUCCUCCACUGAGGUAGCAUAAAUGAAUGAAAUAGUUUCACAUAAAGUAGUAUCAGUAAUAUUAACUAUCUAGCGUUGCUUCCAAGUUUGUUUUUUCUGAUCUGAAUGCCCUAAAAUUAAACUGCAUUUAUUUGAGUUUUGCUGAUUAUCCAGACAAUUAUUUUCUUGCAAUUUCAAGCUUUUUUCCUAGGGUAUUUUCUUCAGAUUCCUUUUUAAUGGUAAUCAAGUAUAAAUAUACUAGGAAGAGAAAAAAUGAGCUCUUAUUACUUAGAAGUGAUGGUAAAAUGAGGGAAAAAUGGGUCAAACCUUGCACCUAGCUUUCAAUUGAAAGGAUCCUUCCUCUGUAUCUUUUCCCUUUCCUAGAUCAUGUCACAACAGGCAUAUGUAAGAUUUAGAAUUCCAAAUAAGUUUUUGAUGAUACAGAUGUGAAAAUAUGAAGUGGCGAGAACAGAAAGGAAUAGAAAGUAGCUAAAGAUUUAGAAAAGGAAGACAGUGUAUAAUGCUGAAAGAUUAACUCUCAGACUGUAAGUACAUCACUACAAUUUGUUCUUCACUAAAUAUUCGUUUAAAUAAUGUGGUAAAUUAUAUUUUUAUAAAGGUGGUGGUGGUUCCUGAAAUUUUAUUUUCCAAUAAGAUAUACUGGCAAAAGUGCCAAGAAAAGAAAAAUCCAUUUUCGGUUAAAUAUUAUAUGGUCAGCAGAACAAAUUACUUAGAUUGUCCACUAACUUAGCUGGGCAUAAUCUCUUCAGGUAAAAUAAAAAUAGUUAAGAAGUAGUAAUAAUAAUAAUAAUUAUAAAAAGCCUUAAGUCUGGGUUCCAAUAUCAAGAAACAUUGAAAUUUUAUAAGAUAACAAUUUAAUUAAUCAUAUGAUAGAUUUUAUGUACUAUAUAGAGAAAUUUUCAGAAGUGUUACAAAUUCUGUCAGUAAAAUUGAAAUGUAUUCCAAGGAAAAAAGAUAGUUUAUUACAUAUGAAGCAAAACCUCCAAACUCUGACUCGAGCUCAGCUGAAUUUUACUAGUUCUUAUAUGUAAGUGUUAAUUAUUGUUCAUAUCUUGACAACAAAAAAAAAUUCAAAGCUGCAAUAUUAACUGAAAUAUUGCAAGGUACAUUGUUUUAAAUGAGUUUAAGGUUGUGGGAUAAAAAUAAACAUAUAGAACUAUUUGAAAAUUCAUGCCCAACUAGUUAAAUAAAGGAGGUGUUAUAAUAGAAAAGUUCAGGGACCCCGUUUUGGAAUGUGUCUAUGCAAACUUAAUGGUGACAUUUCUUUGUUUUUAGACCUAUGCAUUUUCCUUUUAAUAUACUUAUUUUAAUGGAAUUGUAUGAAAUUGUACAUUAUUCAUUACUGCAAUUGCUCUUGCAUUGAUUUUUGUGCAAAAAAUCCCAUUCAGACCUAUCUUUACUGUAGUUUGAGUGCUGUCUUCUAGGUAAGGUUAUAUUUUUAAAAUGCUUGAUAAAUUCAAGCAGGAGAAAUCACUGAUAUGUGUCUGUACCACAUUCUUAUACACAUAUCAAGUAGAAACAAAUAAGGUAAAAUAUCUCCAAAUCCUACUAAGAGAAAUGUUAUUGCUUGAUAAAGUCCUUGGGAACUGCAAUAGGUACAAAUAAGCCCUCCAGUCUUGGAAAUGAUCAAUGGCAGGUAGGCAGUCUCCUUUUGGUUAUAUUUCUUCUAUUGUUCUGGAAUGGACAAUUACCAUGUCAAAGGACUUAACCAACUGCUUUAAAAUGUCAUUAAUUUUCUUAAAUGAAAUGUAUCACAGGAAAUAGCUCCAGUGCUUAAUUUCAGAAGCUUGGAUAAUAUACUGUGGUCCUAUCUUGGGACAAGCAGUCCUCUAACAUUUUGUUUGCCCUUGAGAUUUAGAAGGAAUCAUAUCUAUAGUAUUCAUAAUAAGUAGCAAUUUAACCAAGUUCAAAUUAGAUGUGAACAAAUGGAUUAACAAGCACCUCAUUAAAAUUUUAAUUUCCAUUCCAUUUAUCACUUUUAAUAGAAUCAACUCUGUUUCGGGGUGGGGGAGGAUUAAUUUCCACAUAUAAUGUUAAUUUCACUUGUUUUUAUCAAUAGCUUGAUUUUUUUCCUAUAAAAUUUACUUUGUGUAGUUUCAAAAUAUGUGACCUGCACAAGUUACUAAUAAAUUUUAAAAGGAUAAGGAAAAUCUUGAUUGAUUUAGUAGAUACUUUUUUAAGUACUGAACUUUACAGGAAUACUGUAUGUAUUUUCCUCUAAGUGGUAAUAUGUCCAUACUUUUAGUGGUUUUAAGAAGAAUAAAUGAAUUUUAAAUAAGUACAUUUGGGGAGUUAUCUAAAUAAUUUCACUGAAAACAUCAGUGCAAAUAUUUCAGAAGUAAAUUGUGACUUUUAAAUUUAACAUUCAGAUUCCAUCUUCAAAUCAAUAUUUUAAAGUAUUUUGAAUUCCUUGGAUAACAAAUACCAUAAAUGUGCAGAAUUUUCAUAAUUUAACAUUUUCAUUCAAAUAAAACUAUUCUGGAACUCUAAUGUGAAUAUAUCUAUUAGUGAAGAAUGAUUUUAUACAAAAAAGCAUUGCUUAAACCUAUGGUGUAUUAGCAGUUGCCUUCAAGGGAAAAAUAAAUCAAAUUAUAGGAAUGUAAGAAUUUUAUCUUUUGCAGGUUCAUGUGUUCUUUGAAGUCCCUGUAUUCUGUUGUGGUGUGUUCUGGAUGUCAGCUGCCACUUCUUAAGUUACAAAAAGCUUUUUUACAGCCAUGUUUUACUGCCACUAUUUUCUUCAUGUUUUUUUCCAAUUUGCACUGAUAUGUACUAUACAGAUCACUGAGAGGAAUAGGAUAAUUGUUUAGGGCCCUCUUUCUGUGUAGAACCAAUAUGAAUGGCAAAUUCUUAAGUCUCUAUCAAAUAAAAUAGAGAUAUCUAAAUCACUUAAAAUCUUUACACAGCAUGUGGGAAAGCAAGUAGAUUUCAAUAUAAUGGCAGUCUUGAAAGAAAUGAAAGAAAAGAGAAAGGUUGGAAUAGUAUUUUAGGCACUUGUGAGACUAUUCCAGCAUGUAGCUUGGACAAGAGAGAAAAUCAUAAAAUGAACAAAUGUCUGAAAAAUAUUUCAAAGCAAAGAAGUAUGUUGUUUAAGAUGAAGAAAUUUUUUUAAUCUGUUUGGGUGUCAUUAUAUGUUGAGAUUAAACUUAGUAUUUGUUGGAUGGGUUUUUUAGUGCUUUUUGGAUUUGUGCUGGUUUAUUUGGGGUUUUUUUCCUAAAUAAAUAUAUUUAAUUGUAGCUUAUCUGUAAUUAUGUAAUCGAUUUUAGACAGUAUUUUUUCUGAAUUGAUUUCAGCUAUGAUGUAGUAAUCUAAAUCUAAAUAAGUACCAGAGCAUUCAUUAAGAUCUUAAAAACCCCAUAAAACAAACUAAAAAAACCAAAACAAAACCAAACCCAUCACCACCUAGGAAUUAAUUAAAAAUAAAACCAAUAAUUCCAAGAGUAGCAACCUACCAUAAUGAAACAUGAAUAGAUCUUUCUCACUGUUUUUCAGGUAAAGUAGUUCUGCAUGUUCUUCCCUGUUAAGGAAAACUACCUUAACAGUUUAAAAAACCUAUAAUUUAGGAAAAUGUACUGAUUUCACAUCUGAAACAUGAAGAAAUAUUAAAAAUAAAGAAACCUUGAAUAAGUGCAUACAUAUAGGCUUGUGGUAGUGCUUCUUGGUUGCUGUUGAGGGUGGCUGACUGGUUAUUUCAGUAGGAACUGUAUGAGUAGAUUAACAAGGAGAAAUGGUUGUCUGGAUGUUAGCAAUGCAUGAGGACAAAUUAAAUGUGUUGUGUAAACUUUGUUGUUUAACUUCUUCAGCAAGAUUCCUUUAUGUGUUUGGACUUCUCUUUGGCAAAAACGAUUUACAUUUCCCAGAAUUCCUGGUCAGUAUGGAUUUCAACUAGUGGCCUGAAUGUAACCAAAGACGAGGAAUAUACCUGGGAAAGUACAACCCUUUGCUCUUUUUCCAGAAGGUUUCAUAGUUCUUUCUCCGACUGAUCUACAUUUUGUCCACUGUACCAGAACAAAUUUUUCCAGUUGGCAUGACUCUUCUGGUUAAAGCUGGGCCAGUAAUCAGAAUACAGUUGAAAACCUGUUGGAUGAAGCCCUGAAAGAAGUGUAACAACAGACUGGGAAAGUCAAAUCCAUUAAAAGAAGCUUAAUUCUAGCUUUUGUUUAAUCUAAAAUAUGUAAUAUUAAAAAUGCAUUUUAAAAGAAAAGAAGAAAAACCCAUGUUUCAUGCAUGUAUUGAAUUAGGCACUGGAAAAAAUUGUUAUUGAAUAGUGAUUGACCUGCAGGAUAGAAGUAUGAUGAUGUAUAUAGAAGUAAUCAAUGUAUGUAGUAAAAUGUGUGGCAAAUGUUUUAGAACAGAAAAAUUAUUUUAUCCCUUAUUCUAUUACUUGUGUUUGUUCAUUACUUGAGUACCUGUGAGAGCAAUUGGACUGUAAGAGAGUUAAAAACAAUCAUCAUUUACUAUUACAAAUAUUUAAACUUCACUGAAGAGCUCAUUAAAAUGAUAACUAUUGUGUGAAAUUCCAUCUUGUGUUACUAAUUUGGUCUAUUUUUUUUCCUUUACAAAGUAGUCUUUUAGUGUCUAGUGUAGCAGCCUGUGACUUAAUCAUUAGAUUUAUACUUCCUGUCCUUAGAGUGUUGAAAGGUCAGUAGAAUCAAAAAACAUUGCCUUUGGCCAUCCAUUAUGAGUCACAGACCUAUUCUCCUUUGUUGAAAGCAACUAUCAGACUGUCUAAGAGGUAUUCCUUUCAAAGUUGCAAUGCUUACUUUGUUUGCCUCAUAAUCAGUUGGAGUAAAAUCUCCCAAGCAUUUGGAACUUCCAAGCAAUUUGCUUAGAAACAGCAAAUGAUCUGACUGACCGUAGCUGCCUAUGUUACCAACCCUUUGAAGAAAAGCUGGUUUUAAGACAUGUCAGAAUAACAUGAAUAAAAACUGUGUAUUUAACUAUAAAUUUAAAGAAAGAAUGUUGGCAUUUUAAAUUACUUGCAAUAUCAGUCACUAAACACUAUUCAUAAUUUUAGUCCCUUACUGGAAAUGCAAUUUACUAGUAAGGUAUUUCCUAGACAUUUCUUUCCUGAAAUAAAGAAGAUAGUAAGAAAAAUUGCAAGAAGGAUUUAUUAAGAGUUUAUUAAAGACUUGAUGGAACACUGCUGCAAGUGGUCAUUAUGUUACUAUAUCAGUUUUAAUAUCCAUGCUGCAUGUGCUCUGAAGUAUAUUUGAAUGCUGCUUCUAAACAUGGCCUCUGAAGAGCCUUCUGCCAAAGAGCAGAGUUUGAAGCUGUUAUCUUGGAAUACGUGGCCUGUAUGCCAAUUACCCCAGUGCCUAAGACCAACACUGAAUGUACUAACUUAAGUACAUUGACCCUUGCACUCCAACCUUCUGGGCACUUCUGGUUUACAGUCUUAACAGUCUAGGGACCAUAUAACACUUAAACCAAGGACAUGCCAGCUCUGCAGGGGAGUGUCAUCUGCAUCAAUAAAUGGUGCAAAAGUGCUGUAGAUCAUGUUUUGCAUAUUUCCUAAAUUAUUAGUUACAAGGAUGCACUAAUGUAAGAAAUAUUGAGUUUUUAUUUUGUAUGAAACUUAGUAGAAAGAAUGUGCAUCUACUCUAGGUUUUGUGUUAGAAUUUAGGGAAAGGAUUAAUUUGAUAUUAAUGAGUUUAUUUCCCUGAAGUGCUGAAUAUUUUUUGAUUGUGCUAUCAAAGGUUGAAGCCUGGUAAGAAACAUAAAGAACCUGAAGAAACUGCUUUCAGUUUUUGGCAAACACAGUAGCUGUAGAAGCCCUUGUCAUUGAUGCAGAUUAGAUGCUGUUAAAUGUAUUAAUGUGUGCUGCUUCUAGAAAAAGCAGACUUAAGAACCAGCAAGAUAAUUUAAUGGAAUAAAAAUGCAGAUUUAUACUGAAAAGCUUUUUUCUUCUAGAGUGAAGUUCUAAUCUGUAGUAAUAAAUUAAAUUUUUCUUGCACCCCGUGGAUUUAAACAUCUGCUAACGGUACUGUGUGUUACAAUUUCUACAUUUAAAAAUCUUUAAAGGGCUUCAUGAAAAUGGAGACUUCUUCCAGUUUCUUAAAGAAAACCACAACAAAAGAAAAAAAUUCCCUCUGCAUUUUAUAAAAACUGAGUGACAUGUGAUAUAUAUACAUGUUAGGUAGCUCUGUAUCAUGCAUUCAAUGAAUGUUUUCUGGUAUAGAGAAAUGCAUAUGAAAAGUAUUCUGAAGCCAUUGUAUUCUAGAACAGGAGAAAAAUAGCUUAGGCAGAUUGAGGGUUUAUCCUUUACCUUCUUGAUUGUUGUGCACCACUUAGAUAUGAUUCUGCUUUAAUAGAAUAGAAUUCUGCUAUAAUAACAAGUGUAAUUGCUAUGAUUUUAAUUGAUAUCUUAGAUGCUGUUGUAAGAUACAGAAUUGAUAAUGAUGGUGACAGGGACCUUGGAAAAAUUCAAAUAGAAUAUGGAUUAGAAUUCACUAUUGGAAAUGUAAGGAUAGUAGAAUAUUAAUAUACUCAUAGCUUGUGUUGUCAAUUGUAUGUUAAAAGUUUGAAAUAUGAAGUUUCUACAGUAAAGUGAAAGUACUCUAGCAGAUGCUGCUACCUUCUCUUUAUAUUGAUAAACAGCCAUGGCAGGGCUGACUUCUACCACUAGCUCAGUUUUUCAUGUGAAAUAUCUCAGACCACAAAGAAAGUUGUUCUUGAAUUUUCCCCUGUAGACAAAUACUCUUGGAUCCACUUUGGUUCAACUGGAAAUCCCAUUUCCUUCUUCUAAUGUUCUGAAAGUGUCCAUAGAUAUUGUCUGGUUUGCUUAAACCUGAAUUUAAUAGCAUAGAGUUUAAGGUCUCUGUAGUGAAAAAUUUCAGUACUGACAAUAAGAAUUGAAUUUACAGCUCUAAAUCGUCUAUAAAAAAAAAAAAAAAAAAGAAAAGGAGCUUUAUGAAAGGUAUUCAGAGUAUUAAAUUGAAGGAAUAUCAUGAAAUAAAAUUAGUAUGCUUAUGCAAAUGAUCUAGCUGUGACUUCAUAAUUUGUAAUAGUAUUCAGUUAGGCAGUGUUUACACUUGUUAAUGACUUCCUUUAUGAGUGAUAAUUGAUCUUACUCAUUAUCAUAUUAAAUCCUUGAUCAUAUGUCAUUAGUUGGGAAUGUAAUAAAUGGUCUGUUUGAUUUUUAGUGUAAUGAACUAAUUAGACUAAUUAAAAUCAAUAUGUGUGCCAAUAUUAGACUUUGAAUCCAAAUGCUGCUGUCUGCUGGCUAAAAGUCAGCAACUCAGUAAAAAAGUGGCCUAAUGCUGAUUUAUGAGCACUUGAUGAAUGUGAGGUAGAAUAAAUUGCUUGUAGUGGUAGAAACAGCAUUAGUGAAAUACAAGUUACUAAGUACAUUGUAAGAUCAGGAGUAAGGGCAUACUUACAACUAUAGUUACGUGGCACCUUUAAACCUUCCUAGCUGAUUAGAUCAUUCUUCAGAAAUUCUUCAGAUUAAAUAUUGUAAAGUGCAUUAAUCUAUAUUUAUAAAUUUAAUAUUCUAUGCAUGUGUCUGGAAAUAUAUCCAAUUUAUUUCUCUCCACGAGCCUGUGUGGUUUUUUUAUGUUAGCACAUUUCGUAUAUUUUACGUUUUGUACUGCACUUUUAUUUUUAUAGUAUUCUGUGAAUAUACCAAAUAGGUCACACUUUCAAAUUCAGUAAUGUACCGUUAUUAAAAUGUGUUAUUCAACCAUGGUAUUCAUUCACUUUUAUGUUUAUGAGGAAUUGUGCAUAAGCCCUAGGGGAGACAGGAACACAUCCUGUAAUUCUGUAAUGACCUUUUGGAGAAGAAGGAAAUGGCUACUGGGAAGGGGAUAUUAUUACAGAAUUCAGGAUCUUGUAGCUGCAAAGCAAAAGAAUUGUGGAAAUCCUU